rnacentral:rRNA from 1 species
AAAAAAGGUAAGCUACUAAGAGCGAAUGGUGGAAUGCCUUGACUGGUAAAGGCGAUGAAGGACGUACUAGACUGCGAUAAGCUACGGGGAGCUGUCAAGAAGCUUUGAUCCGUAGAUUUCCGAAUGGGGCAACCCAAUGUAUAGAGAUAUACAUUACCUAUAUAGGAGCGAACGAGGGGAAUUGAAACAUCUUAGUACCCUCAGGAAAAGAAAUCAAUAGAGAUUGCGUCAGUAGCGGCGAGCGAAAGCGCAAGAGGGCAAACCCAGUGCUUGCACUGGGGGUUGUAGGACUGCAAUGUGCAAGAGGUAAGUUUAGCAGAACAUUCUGGAAAGUAUAACCAUAGAGGGUGAUAGUCCCGUAUGCGAAAAACAAACCUUAGCUAGCAGUAUCCUGAGUAGGGCGGGACACGAGGAAUCCUGUCUGAAUCCGGGUCGACCACGAUCCAACCCUAAAUACUAAUACCAGAUCGAUAGUGCACAAGUACCGUGAGGGAAAGGUGAAAAGAACUGAGGUGAUCAGAGUGAAAUAGAACCUGAAACCAUUUGCUUACAAUCAUUCAGAGCCCUAUGUAGCAAUACAGGGUGAUGGACUGCCUUUUGCAUAAUGAGCCUGCGAGUUGUGGUGUCUGGCAAGGUUAAGCAAACGCGAAGCCGUAGCGAAAGCGAGUCUGAAUAGGGCGCUUAGUCAGAUGCUGCAGACCCGAAACGAAGUGAUCUAUCCAUGAGCAAGUUGAAGCUAGUGUAAGAACUAGUGGAGGACUGAACCCAUAGGCGUUGAAAAGCCCCGGGAUGACUUGUGGAUAGGGGUGAAAGGCCAAUCAAACUUCGUGAUAGCUGGUUCUCUCCGAAAUAUAUUUAGGUAUAGCGUUGUGUCGUAAUAUAAGGGGGUAGAGCACUGAAUGGGCUAGGGCAUACACCAAUGUACCAAACCCUAUCAAACUCCGAAUACCUUAUAUGUAAUCACAGCAGUCAGGCGGCGAGUGAUAAAAUCCGUCGUCAAGAGGGAAACAACCCAGACUACCAGCUAAGGUCCCUAAAUCUUACUUAAGUGGAAAACGAUGUGAAGUUACUUAAACAACCAGGAGGUUGGCUUAGAAGCAGCCAUCCUUUAAAGAAAGCGUAAUAGCUCACUGGUCUAGUGAUUUUGCGCGGAAAAUAUAACGGGGCUAAAGUAAGUACCGAAGCUGUAGACUUGCACACAACUUAGAUUAUUUAAGUUUAGAAUAUGAGAAACUAAGUUAUAUGUUUAGUUAUAUUUUUACUGAUUUUUAUAGAGUAAAGAUAGAAAUAAAACUUAGUAAAAUCAGUAAAAAUAUUCUUAGACUAAAGUUAAGUAGUUUAAGUUGUGUGCAAGUGGUAGGAGAGCGUUCUAUUUGCGUCGAAGGUAUACCGGUAAGGAGUGCUGGAGCGAAUAGAAGUGAGCAUGCAGGCAUGAGUAGCGAUAAUUAAUGUGAGAAUCAUUAACGCCGUAAACCCAAGGUUUCCUACGCGAUGCUCGUCAUCGUAGGGUUAGUCGGGUCCUAAGUCGAGUCCGAAAGGGGUAGACGAUGGCAAAUUGGUUAAUAUUCCAAUACCAACAUUAGUGUGCGAUGGAAGGACGCUUAGGGCUAAGGGGGCUAGCGGAUGGAAGUGCUAGUCUAAGGUCGUAGGAGGUUAUACAGGCAAAUCCGUAUAACAAUACUCCGAGAACUGAAAGGCUUUUUGAAGUCUUCGGAUGGAUAGAAGAACCCCUGAUGCCGUCGAGCCAAGAAAAGUUUCUAAGUUUAGCUAAUGUUGCCCGUACCGUAAACCGACACAGGUGGGUGGGAUGAGUAUUCUAAGGCGCGUGGAAGAACUCUCUUUAAGGAACUCUGCAAAAUAGCACCGUAUCUUCGGUAUAAGGUGUGGUUAGCUUUGUAUUAGGAUUUACUCCGAAAGCAAGGAAACUUACAACAAAGAGUCCCUCCCGACUGUUUACCAAAAACACAGCACUCUGCUAACUCGUAAGAGGAUGUAUAGGGUGUGACGCCUGCCCGGUGCUCGAAGGUUAAUUGAUGGGGUUAGCAUUAGCGAAGCUCUUGAUCGAAGCCCGAGUAAACGGCGGCCGUAACUAUAACGGUCCUAAGGUAGCGAAAUUCCUUGUCGGUUAAAUACCGACCUGCAUGAAUGGCGUAACGAGAUGGGAGCUGUCUCAAAGAGGGAUCCAGUGAAAUUGUAGUGGAGGUGAAAAUUCCUCCUACCCGCGGCAAGACGGAAAGACCCCGUGGACCUUUACUACAGCUUGACACUGCUACUUGGAUAAGAAUGUGCAGGAUAGGUGGGAGGCUUUGAGUAUAUGACGCCAGUUGUAUAUGAGCCAUUGUUGAGAUACCACUCUUUCUUAUUUGGGUAGCUAACCAGCUUGAGUUAUCCUCAAGUGGGACAAUGUCUGGUGGGUAGUUUGACUGGGGCGGUCGCCUCCCAAAUAAUAACGGAGGCUUACAAAGGUUGGCUCAGAACGGUUGGAAAUCGUUCGUAGAGUAUAAAGGUAUAAGCCAGCUUAACUGCAAGACAUACAAGUCAAGCAGAGACGAAAGUCGGUCUUAGUGAUCCGGUGGUUCUGUGUGGAAGGGCCAUCGCUCAAAGGAUAAAAGGUACCCCGGGGAUAACAGGCUGAUCUCCCCCAAGAGCUCACAUCGACGGGGAGGUUUGGCACCUCGAUGUCGGCUCAUCGCAUCCUGGGGCUGGAGCAGGUCCCAAGGGUAUGGCUGUUCGCCAUUUAAAGCGGUACGCGAGCUGGGUUCAGAACGUCGUGAGACAGUUCGGUCCCUAUCUGCCGUGGGCGUAAGAAGAUUGAAGAGAUUUGACCCUAGUACGAGAGGACCGGGUUGAACAAACCACUGGUGUAGCUGUUGUUCUGCCAAGAGCAUCGCAGCGUAGCUAAGUUUGGAAAGGAUAAACGCUGAAAGCAUCUAAGCGUGAAGCCAACUCUAAGAUGAAUCUUCUCUAAGCUCUCUAGAAGACUACUAGUUUGAUAGGCUGGGUGUGUAAUGGAUGAAAGUCCUUUAGCUGACCAGUACUAAUAGAGCGUUUGGCUUAUCUUUAAUAAAGCAU